rnacentral:rRNA from 1 species
UUGCCUUAGUACCGGCGAAGUGAAGCGGCAACAGCUCAAAUUUGGAAUCUGGCUCUCGGGCCCGAGUUGUAAUUUGUAGAGGAUGCUUUCGAUGCGGUGCCUUCCGAGUUCCCUGGAACGGGACGCCAUAGAGGGUGAGAGCCACGUCUGGUUGGACGCAAAAUCUCCGUAAAGCUCCUUCGACGAGUCGAGUAGUUUGGGAAUGCUGCUCUAAAUGGGAGGUAUAUGUCUUCUAAAGCUAAAUACCGGCCAGAGACCGAUAGCGCACAAGUAGAGUGAUCGAAAGAUGAAAAGCACUUUGAAAAGAGAGUUAAAAAGUACGUGAAAUUGUUGAAAGGGAAGCGUUUAUGACCAGACUUGGGCUUGGAUAAUCAUCUGGGGUUCUCCCCAGUGCACUUUUCCAGUCCAGGCCAGCAUCAGUUUUCGCCGGGGGGAAAAGGGUUUCGGGAAUGUGGCUCUCUCCGGGGGGUGUUAUAGCCCGUUGCGUAAUACCCUGGCGGGGACUGAGGUUCGCGCAUCUGCAAGGAUGCUGGCGUAAUGGUCAUCAACGACCCGCCGAAAGAG